rnacentral:rRNA from 1 species
GAUGAACGCUAGCUACAGGCUUAACACAUGCAAGUCGAGGGGCAGCAUGAACUUAGCUUGCUAAGUUUGAUGGCGACCGGCGCACGGGUGAGUAACACGUAUCCAACCUUCCGUUUACUCAGGGAUAGCCUUUCGAAAGAAAGAUUAAUACCUGAUAGUAUGGUGAGAUUGCAUGAUAACACCAUUAAAGAUUUAUUGGUAAACGAUGGGGAUGCGUUCCAUUAGGUAGUAGGCGGGGUAACGGCCCACCUAGCCUGCGAUGGAUAGGGGUUCUGAGAGGAAGGUCCCCCACAUUGGAACUGAGACACGGUCCAAACUCCUACGGGAGGCAGCAGUGAGGAAUAUUGGUCAAUGGGCGAGAGCCUGAACCAGCCAAGUAGCGUGAAGGAUGACGGCCCUAUGGGUUGUAAACUGCUUUUAUAAGGGAAUAAAGUGAGUCUCGUGAGACUUUUUGCAUGUACCUUAUGAAUAAGGACCGGCUAAUUCCGUGCCAGCAGCCGACGG